GGGCGGUUAGCUCAGUUGGUAGAGCGCCUCCUUUACACGGAGGAUGCCGGGGGUUCGAGUCCCUCACCGCCCACCA
rnacentral:tRNA from 1 species